UACGUAGGGUGCAAGCAUUAAUCGGAUUCAUUGGGCGUAAAGAGCGUGUAGGCGGGAAAGAAAGUUAGAUGUGAAAGCCCGGGGCUCAACUCCGGAACUGCAUCUAAAACUCCUUUUCUAGAGGAUGGACGGAGAAAAUGAAAUUCCACGUGUAGCGGUGAAAUGCGUAGAUAUGUGGAAGAACACCAGUGGCGAAAGCGAUUUUCUAGUUUAGACCUGACGCUGAGGCGCGAAAGCUAGGGGAGCAAACAGG
rnacentral:rRNA from 1 species